UGGGGAAUAUUCCGCAAUGGGCGCAAGCCUGACGGAGCAACGCCGCGUGAAUGAAGAAGGUCUUCGGAUUGUAAAGUUCUGUCAUUAGGGACGAAGGACUCAUGCGAAUAGUGUGAGGAAUGACGGUACCUAAGGAGGAAGCUCCGGCUAACUACGUGCCAGCAGCCGCGGUAAUACGUAGGGAGCAAGCGUUGUCCGGAAUUACUGGGCGUAAAGGGCGCGUAGGCGGACGCAUAAGUCAGAUGUGAAAUCUCCGGGCUCAACUUGGAGCGUGCAUUUGAAACUGUGUGUCUUGAGGGCAGGAGAGGAAAGUGGAAUUCCUAGUGUAGCGGUGAAAUGCGUAGAUAUUAGGAGGAACACCAGUGGCGAAGGCGACUUUCUGGACUGAACCUGACGCUGAGGCGCGAAAGCAUGGGUAGCGAACGGG
rnacentral:rRNA from 1 species